rnacentral:lncRNA from 1 species
AUGGAUGUUCUCGCUUCAUCAUCUCUUCAUGCUCAUCUAAGUAUGCCGUUAUCUCGUCAAAAUUGUUAAGUACGAACUAAUGCACUACCUCCAUGCCAUUUCUAGAAAACAACUCUCCUCGUCUAGGAUCUCCAAAGGGUCAUGCCCUUUGGGCAAAAACAGAAAGUUUUUCAUUUCUCAUACAUCCGUCAUUAUUGACCUGAGAACGAUUGAAAGCUGUCUCCACAUCUUUUAAAUGCAUACCACAGAAAGUAAGCGACUCAUAUUUCUAGCCUCU